UGAUGAUGGAGAAGAUGAUGAUGAUGAUGGUGAGGAUGAUGAAAAAAAUAAUCAUCAUCUUCGUCGUCGUCGUCGUCGUCAUACAAA
rnacentral:pre_miRNA from 1 species